rnacentral:lncRNA from 1 species
GAUCAAAAAUCGAACCCACACUCGAUGAAACUAGGGUUCGAACAAAAGAGGAAGAAAACGAAUUGGGGAUUUUUUCUUCUUUCGCCAAAACAGAAAAUAAUAAACCAAAGAAAAAUCUUUUUUUUUAGCCACUCCCGCGGCGCCACGUGGCCUAAGAUUCGGAGUCCAACGCUUGUUGGAGAAGAAGCGGAUGGACCUUGCGUUUUCCCUGUUUGAUUUUUUUGGGCUUAUUUAAAUGCCCGAAGGCCCGAUCACUUGCUGCGAUAAUGAUGCCCUU